GUGUCAGCAGCCGCGGUAAUACGGAGGGUGCUAGCGUUGUUCGGAAUUACUGGGCGUAAAGGGCGCGUAGGCGGCCGUUUGCGUCGGAUGUGAAAGCCCGGGGCUCAACCUCGGAACGGCAUUCGAUACGGGACGGCUGGAGACCGGGAGAGGAGAGUGGAAUAGCCAGUGUAGAGGUGAAAUUCGUAGAUAUUGGCUGGAACACCGGUGGCGAAAGCGGCUCUCUGGCCCGGUUCUGACGCUGAGGCGCGAAAGCGUGGGGAGCAAACAGGAUUAGAUACCCCCGUAGUCC
rnacentral:rRNA from 1 species